GACGAACGCUGGCGGCGUGCCUAAUACAUGCAAGUAGAACGCUGAAGCGAGGAGCUUGCUCUUCUUGGAUGAGUUGCGAACGGGUGAGUAACGCGUAGGUAACCUGCCUUGUAGCGGGGGAUAACUAUUGGAAACGAUAGCUAAUACCGCAUAACAAUGGAUGACCCAUGUCAUUUAUUUGAAAGGGGCAAAUGCUCCACUACAAGAUGGACCUGCGUUGUAUUAGCUAGUAGGUGAGGUAACGGCUCACCUAGGCGACGAUACAUAGCCGACCUGAGAGGGUGAUCCGCCACAAUGGGACUGAGACACGGCCCAGACUCCUACGGGAGGCAGCAGUAGGGAAUCUUCGGCAAUGGGGGCAACCCUGACCGAGCAACGCCGCGGGAGUGAAGAAGGGUUUCGGAGCGUAAAGCUCUGUUGUAAGUCAAGAACGAGUGUGAGAGUGGAAAGUUCACGCUGUGACGGUAGCUUACCAGAAAGGGACGGCUAACUACGUG
rnacentral:rRNA from 1 species